rnacentral:rRNA from 1 species
CAGCAGCCCGAGUGGUGGUCGUUUUUAUUGGGCCUAAAGCGUCCGUAGCCGGUCUAGUAAAUCCUUGGAUAAAUCGUACAGCUUAACUGUACAGCUCCCGGGGAGACUGCUAGACUUGGGACUGGGAGAGGUCGGAGGUACUCCAGGGGUAGGGGUGAAAUCUUGUAAUCCUUGGGGGACCACCAGUGGCGAAGGCGUCCGACUAGAACGGGUCCGACGGUAAGGGACGAAGCCCUGGGGCGCGAACCGGAUUAGAUACCCGAGUAGUCC